rnacentral:rRNA from 1 species
UACGUAGGGUGCGAGCGUUAAUCGGAAUUACUGGGCGUAAAGCGUGCGCAGGCGGUUUGCUAAGACCGAUGUGAAAUCCCCGGGCUCAACCUGGGAACUGCAUUGGUGACUGGCAGGCUAGAGUAUGGCAGAGGGGGGGUAGAAUUCCACGUGUAGCAGUGAAAUGCGUAGAGAUGUGGAGGAAUACCGAUGGCGAAGGCAGCCCCCUGGGCCCAAUACUGACGCUCAUGCACGAAAGCGUGGGGAGCAAACAGG